rnacentral:lncRNA from 1 species
AUGAACCCCAUCAACAGAGCAGGACUCCAAUGUCCCCACGGGCACAGCAAGAUCCCAGUGUCCCCAUCAGCACAGCAGUGCCCCUAUGUCCCCAUGGGCACAGCAGAUCCCAUUGUCCCCAUCAGCAGAGCAGGACCUCAGUGUCCCCAUUGGCACAGCAAGUCCCAACGUCCCAUGGGUACAGCAGGACCCCAAUGUCCCCACUUUGCUCGCAGCCACUCUCUGGGCACGGGGGCAAAGGCUGUAGGCAUGGUGGCAGCAGAGGGGUCCAGCAGAGAGAUGGUGGCUGUGUAUGUGGGGCUGGGCCCAUCAAUCCAUCACAUCCUUCAGUCACGCCGCCGUCCCUCUCGUGCCCUGUCCCUCCCUGUUGUCUCCCCAGCCCUCCGUCCCCGCUGCUCGCCCCGUGGCAGCCCCCAGUUCCUCCGGCCGCCCUCCUGGCGCUCAGCUCUGCCCUUGCUGCCCUUGCCACCAUCCCUGCGGUGCUCAUCCCUGUCCCACCGGCUCUCCUUCCCCUCACGGCGUCUCUUCUUGUGCUGCUGCUCGGGAUCCCUGUGUGCCCGGGGGGCUCUGGGGGGUCUCUCCUCGCGGGUCCUGUCCUUGGGACGUGGCUCCCGACGACUGCUCUUCUCUGCUGGGGCUGCGCGACCCUCCUUGGGCCUCUCCUCCUUCUUUGGGCCACGGGGUCUCUCCUUCUCUUCCUCCUCCUCCUCCUCCUCCUCCUCCUCUUCCUUCUUCUCUUCUUUCUUCUCUUCCUUCUUCUCCUCCUUCUUCUCUUUCUUCUCUUCCUUCUCCUCCUCCUUCUCCUCCUUUCUCUCCUCUUUUUUCUCUGGGCCUCGAGUUUUCUCCUCCUUCUCCGGACCUUUUGCCUUCUCCUCUUUCUUCUCUGGUUUCUCCUGGCCCUUCCUCAGCUCCACUUUGGCUGUUGGUUCCUCAGGUUUCUCAGCGGGCUCUUCCUCCUCUUCUCCAGCCUCUUCCUCCUUGUGUCCUGGCUCCGAGCGGCCAAACCACUUCUUGAAGAUCCAGGGCUCAGCCUGGGGGACAGCGGUGUCACACACCUUGUGCCCUCUCCAUCCCUCCCAUGGAGGACCAGUUGGAAAGGACCUCUCCCACCCCCACCAUGCCCAUGACCGUGACCCCAAGUGCCACAACUCCACAGUUAUUAAACAUCUCCAGGGCCCACGAUCUCCUCCACACCAGAGGAUGCUGUGCCCCCACCCUCAGCCCCAUACCAGGUUGCUGUCUGCUUCGUCAUCAUCAUCGCCAUCAUCAUCGCCAUCAUCAUCCUCCACCGUGCUGCUCUCAGGUGGGAUAGGCUGA